ensembl:lncRNA LINC00343 long intergenic non-protein coding RNA 343
GGGAAAGAAACCUGGAAAGGUAGGGAGGUAUGGAUAUGGACAAGCUAUGCCAAGGAGCAGGGCUUUGUCAUGGAGAGUGACUAGGUGCUUUUACAUAGGAAAGUCACCUGAUAAUAUUAAAACCUGUGAAAUAUCACUCUGGUGGAAGUGUGAAUGAAUUUGAAAGGGGUGUAACACUGUUCUACUUUGUUUACUCCUCAGUACCCUUGGCUGUGUACAUUUGAGUAAAGAGAGCACUAUAAAAUCAAAAACCAAUGAAAUGGUUUCCAGAACACAGAACUAUUAAGCUUAAGAAAAGGACAGAAGGAACUGAAGAGAGAGGAACUGUUUUGGAGCAUCACACUUCCACCUCAGAAGAAAUAAGGAAGGAAGGAGGAGGGUGUUCCCACGGCUCUUCAACCAGGCCGGCUCUUCAGCCUACAUCCCCAUCUCAUCAAGUAAAAGGGAUUUUUCAACUGGACCAACCAGAUGGUUUAACAGUGCACUCCCACACCAUUCAACUACGCAAGGGAGAUACACUUAACAUAUGCAGUCGUAUAACACCUACUAACAUUUUCAAACAUUAAACCUUUAAAAAAGAGUUCUAAAGAAAUAGAAGCUUGAAGUAUCAUCUCUCAAGUAUAUAGACACUACUUCAUGGUGUGGUAAUAUAUGCAUAUAGAAGCUAGUAAACACCUCCAGGAGAUGCAAAAGGAAUUAGAACUGCCACAAGGUGCAAGCAAAACCUUGAGGUAAUCAAUCUGCAUCCCAUUUUGGAUGAGAAUAUUUGCAACUUUGAAGGUUAUUUUAAGGACAGCAGCAGAAGAAUUAUGGCAGGUAUCUGAAAUUCAUUUCUGUGCUUUGCCGAGGACCCAUGGGAUGCCAUUUGCAGAUGAGAAAACUAAAGAAUAGCUUUAUCUUCCAGCUCUUCACGGAAAAAAAAAUGGCAACAAUAAAAUCAGCAACUCCUGCCAAAUAAAUGGGCAUAAAAAAGAAAUCAUAGACUGCUGGCAAUGGUGGGGAAAAAGUUAUAAAAAUUGUCUCUGCACCAUCUUCCUUUUGUCCUCUAAAAUAUUCACAUUAGCAAAAGUAUAUAACAGCUGAUGAAGAAAUACUGAUAAUUUGUCUUUCUUCUUUAAAAUAUGAAGACUUCGAAGUUAUUUAUCCAAACCAACCUGAUCAUUUCUUAAGAGUGAAUAUACCUUGGAAGACGUGUCCUGCCUUUAGUAGCGUCACAAUGGAUUACAUCCUCUAUAAAGCAGUCUGGGAUAUACCCGGCUUUUAAAAUUGAAAACCAUAGCCUAGAAUUCUGAUUGAAUAUGCAUAACAAGAUGGGAGCAUAAGAAGAAAAUUUUUAUUGAUCUUUAAAAUAUAAACCAAAUGACUCUCACUACUGAUUUUAGACUUGUGAAUUAAAACAGGGGUCCAUGAACUAUGCGUAGAGGGUCAAAUCUGGCCCACUGCCUGGUUAUAUAAAUAAAGUGUUGUUGAAACACAGCCACACCAUUGCAGCUAUGUAACUAGGGGGAUAUCAGCUCUACCCCUAUGUCUGCGUUCUGUUUUUCCUCUUCUAAUCCUUCACCCAUCUGAGCUAAAGUCUAGACCUAAGGAGGCUACUAAUUCAGGGAUCGAGUAAUCUGCCAAGCAAGAGUUUAUUCAAGCACAGUUUGAAAUAAAGGUUUCAAAUGCAUAGCCUGUCGAUACUUUGGAAGGAUUCUCAUCAUAACGAGAUAUGGGAGGACACCUGAGACGGCAGGCCAGAAGUCACUCAGUAGGAGAAACAUCCGUUAGAAGUAAUAAUGUGGGAUUGCUGAAGUAAAGACUAUAGGAAGAAAAAAGUGUCUGUGUGUAGGAAACGGAAAGGGAGAGAAAAAUACACUGAGAUGGUAAAGUAAGGAAGUGGAAGAUCAGCAGAAUGUGCAGAUGCCAAGCCAUCCAAGAAAAUCAUCUCUUGUGAUUGUUGCGAAGUCAACUAGCUAAUGUGACUCACUGCUAGGCUGUUGGAUCUGAGACUUAUGUGGGAUAAUUUAGAAACUUGCUAGUGUCUUAAGAUCAAUUACUCACCAAUGAGAGUGGCAUUGAACUGUGAAUGUUCCUCCUAGAUUUUCCAUGAAGACUAAUGGUUUUGUCUUGUCUUGAAUUUGUUUUAAUUACAAUUUGUAUACAUCCUGUUCCACCCUGAAAUUUUUAUUUUCCAAAUGGUUUUUCAUUUAAAGAGACUAAAUAAAGGUUCUGACUGAGUUG